GACGAACGCUGGCGGCGUGCUUAACACAUGCAAGUCGAGCGGUAAGGCCCUUUCGGGGGUACACGAGCGGCGAACGGGUGAGUAACACGUGGGUGACCUGCCCUCAGCUCUGGGAUAAGCCUGGGAAACCGGGUCUAAUACUGGAUAUGACUCCAUGACGCAUGUUGUGGGGUGGAAAGCCUUGUGCGGCUGAGGAUCGGGCCCGCGGCCUAUCAGCUUGUUGGUGGGGUGAUGGCCUACCAAGGCGACGACGGGUAGCCGGCCUGAGAGGGCGACCGGCCACACUGGGAC
rnacentral:rRNA from 1 species